UUCGUUUCUCUCUUGGUGUCGCCUCUCUUGGUUUCGUUUAUCUCCCGCUCUUAUCGUAGUAGAGUCUCAGAUCGGUGUAGCUCCAUCGUUGUUGAUCAGUUGCAGCGACCCACGCCAUCCUUAGCUACUACCCACAUCGUCGAACCUGGCGGAUGAUGCUCACCGCUACAAGUUCAAGACAUGUGGAAGAACUUAAGGAGGUCACAAGAUUUGAGAGAAGUUGAAUCACUGUCUAUUUGUGCACUUUGAGUGUCAUUCUUGAUGCUAUGUACUGGUCCUUGUGUUAAUUUAGGAUACUGUUACUUUCAUGUAUUUUUGUACUUUGGGUGUCAUUCUUGAUGCUAUGUACAAGGAACUUAUGUUAAUUUGGGAUAUUGUUACUUUGAUGUAAUUGUACACUUUGGGUGUCAUUCUUGAUGCUAUGUACAAGGAGCAAUGUGUGGAUUGUUGUGUAAUCUAAGUUAGAUAUAAUUUGAAUGCCCCCUGAUUUAUUUCCAA